CUCCAUCUCCCUUGAGCUUUCAUUUCUCUCACAGAGAGAGAGAGAAAGAGAGAGAGAGGGAAUCAUUCUACAAUCUGUCAUAUUCCUCCUAAAGCUUGAGAGAUCAGAUCUCGCAAAGCCCACCGACGACGAGAGCAAUGGCUGAAAAGGUGCAUAUUACCUUCCUCAUCCUUCCAAUUUAUGAAGACUCUUUCUCUCUGACUGACAGAAAGAUUAUUGUAACCCACAAAUGAUCAGCUCUUUUGCAUUCUUGCAUAAAAAAAUAGAUUUCUCAUUCUUCUGGUGGCCGAAAGAGCCGUGCUUUCCUCUGCUUUUAGCUUCGUUUUGUUUGCAGAGCACAGAAGAUCUUUGCUUGUGUUGUUCACUCACUCUCUCUGUGUUUGUGCGUAUGUGUGUGUGACUGUGAGUGUAGAAAGGUAGUAAUGGUCAUGAAGGUUGACCUGGGGUGCGAUCGCUGCUACAGAAGAUCAGAAAGUGAUCUGCAANNNNNNNNNNNNNNNNNNNNNNNNNNNNNNNNNNNNNNNNNNNNNNNNNNNNNNNNNNNNNNNNNNNNNNNNNNNNNNNNNNNNNNNNNNNNNNNNNNNNNNNNNNNNNNNNNNNNNNNNNNNNNNNNNNNNNNNNNNNNNNNNNAAAGUCAUAACGAACUAACGACUGUAUGUCUGGAUUUCUAAUCCCAGGCUGUCAUUAUUUCGUAAACGGUGAUUCUGUUUCUUCCAAAAUUGAAAGUCUCCCACGCAUUGUUCCUAUUCUAAUUAUGUAUUUAGGAUGAGGACCUUAUUGAAUUAGAAUCUGUAAGUAGUAUUAUGUGAUGUAAACUUUAGUACCAAAAUUUAGCUGUAGAAAGGAAACUAAGUUAAUUUAUCGGUGUUAUUGUUUUGGGAACGACAGAAAUCCGAGACCAAAGGUACGAUGAUAAGCAGAACAAGGUGCUAAUCAGUGUGGUAAGCUGUUGUCCUGAGAGAAUCCUUGAGAAAAUAGCCAGCAAAGGCGGAAAAACAGUGGAGAGCAUCGAGAUAAUGACCGAGAAGAAAGAUGGCGAGAAGAAAGAUGGCGAGAAGAAAGAUGGUGAGAAGAAACAAGGUGAGAAGAAAGAAGGCGAGAAGAAGAAGGAUGGAGAUAAAAAAGAGGGCGAGAAGAAGAAGGAUGGGGAUAAAAAAGAGGGCGAAAAGAAGAAGGACGCCCCAGCUGCAGAAAAACCAAAAGACAGUGAGAAAAAGAAAGACGGAGGAGACAAGCCUAAAGGAGACGGUGACAAGAAGGAACCGCAAGUUCAGAAGUAUAUGAUCGAGCCUGCUUCGGGAUAUCCCACGAUUUAUCCAGGCGGAAUGUACUACCAGCCGCCUCAGCCGUAUUACCAAGGAUACGGUGCCAUGCCAUACGGUGCCAUGCCAUACUCUCACGGGGUGCCGGCUUAUUACGGUGAGAGCAGUUAUGGUGUGAAUAGGGGCUAUAACACGAACCACCCGGACUACUUCAGUGAAGAGAACCCUGAGUCGUGCACAGUCAUGUGAUUGGAUCACGAAUGGGUUAGCGUUGCAUGUACAUGUUAACUUGCUAAAGGUUUUAUAUUUUAUCAGUUGUGCUUGGUUGGUGGAUCUGUCAAAUUUGGUGGAUAUUUGUUUUUGAUCAUUUGAGACAGUAAAGGAACAGUAAGGUUUGGUGAGAAGGUCGAUGAUUCUAUGAUUCUGUUUGCAGAAAUAGGAUCAGUAGGUGGUUUGGUAUUUUAAACAGAUUAAACUACCAGUUACCAGUUGUUGAGGUUUUAAUCAAUGAGGACAGCUGAUUCAAAUCAAGUCCGUUUUAAUGGCUAUGAUAGUGCUGUUCAGAUAGAUCUAGGAACUUCAAAAAAAUAUAUCAAUUGACUUUAAAAAAAAGUAUCAAUGGACAAAACAUUUCAGUUGGCAAACUGCAGAAUUUGUUACACGCAUCGUGUUAGUGACUUCUGUCAUGUAAAAGUGAGGCUGCAACAGAUCGACAAUGAAACUCAACGACUUUGUGAAGCUGAUGUCGCAGACCAUCCGACUCCUUGUAUCUAGCAUUUGCUGCUAGAUGCAGUGAUUCAGGCAGGGAGACAUGAGUUCCACAUUUUGGUUUAUUUUUUGCCAAUGAUUUUCUAGAUAGGGGUGAAGCCAACAGAAAAAACUCAGCAUUAUCAGCAAGUAAUGGCAGGGCGUAUUAGUGAUGCAAGACAAAGUAUGUAAGUACAAUCCUCCAAGCAGCCAAACCCCCUAAUUUCGGGACUGAAUUAAAUCAGAGGUUGUCAAAGCUCCAGAGUGAUGACAUCGAGAUUCUGGAACCUUUCUAAGAUUGUGGUAACAUCUUCCCAGCUGAUCUUUCCCAUUUCCUCUAGCUUGUCUGCAACAAACUCUGCAGCGCUGCAAAAAGAAAGCGCCAGCAAGAAACUCAGACACUUGCUCAGAUUAGUUUAUUUGCAUAAGUGAAUUUGUAGCAGAUGAUUAAAAUUCACCUGACAACUUUGUCAUCAUCAAGAUCAGCAGCCUCUAAAUCGAAGAAUGUAAGAUUUCGUGUGAGAACCCAUUUUGUGAACGAUCUUUGCCUACUUUCUGUGCACAGUUCAGCAAGGUAGAAGAAAAACCGACCCACGCAAAUGGUACUAGCCAGUAUCCAAAACACGGCAAAGAUUCUGCCACUGGUGGUCGAGAAACUUUGAUCUCCAUAGCCCAGAGUAGUAAUAGUAGCACAAACACAAUAGAAAGCAUCAACAAAUUUAAAUUUCUCGGUGACCAACAUAUACACGGUUCCAAGUACAGUGAGGACCACGACAUGAACGAGGGAAAUGAGGAAAUUGUAUCUGAUUUUGUAGGUUUCGACCUCCUUCAGGAUUUCAGCCAGACCAACCAUGUCAUUGAUAUGCGUAGCUCUUACUAGAAGAACUUGCUGCUUUUCAAGAAUGUAAUCGGCUGCUUUGCCCAGUAUCAGCCCACCAAGAGCCAUUCCUGUGAAAACAUAUGUUGAGGCUAGAAGUUUUGCCAAUGUGCUACUUGGGACGAGAUCUCCAUAUCCCACAGUAGUCAUGGUAACAACGCAAAAGUAAAGGGCAUCAAGUAGACCAUUCAUCUUCUUGCCCGAGAUUUGGUUCCUCAGGAGAAAGAAACAAAAACUUCCUACACCAAGGUAUGCAGCCAAGACUAUUAGGAUUUUUUAUUAGUGUGGGUUCUUUUGUAGACUUGAGAAGACAAGGUUCAGGGCCAUUCUGCUCGGGGAAAUUAUCCGCUGAAGGAGAAUUUCGGCAGUGUCUUCUUCUUUGGACUGCAUUGUUCUUGUCCUCGGGAUGAUUCGAAGCGUCAACUGAAUUUCCAAUCAAGGAUUCUCUGGUAUCAUCAUAGGCCAUAUCAAAUGCUGCAGAUUUGUCCUCAUUAAGCAGCCUGCAUUUUUGGAGCAUUCAGCAAUCAGUCAAGGGACAUUCCAUGAAUUUUCUGUCGUCUUGUUUAUCAUCCAGUAGUGUGUGUUCAAACUUCCCCAUGAGCUCAAGUUCUUCAUACCAUAAUCUAAUGUCCAGUCACUCUAUGUGAUGCAGAGUGGAAGGUGAAAAUUUCGCAGCAUUCACUCCCCAAUAACCGUAAACUGGCCAGAAACUAGUCUCAGGCUUGUACACUGAUGAUAGAGAGAUUUUGUUUCCCUUUAGACAUUGCUUUAUACAUAUAUAAAGACCAAGGACAAUUCCAAUCAAUGUUGACCAAUACGUACUAGCGGACACGAUAUUGCAGAUGAAACACAGCCGGGCAUGUAAAUGAAUGGAUUAAACAAUGCCAAGAGGGCCUGGACUAAACAAAACUUCAUCCUCUAACUCGAAUGGCAAGAUUAGGAGGACACGAAUGGAUCUACUCUUUGAAGGGAGACACCAAAUAUGCAAUCACACAUGAAAAGAGAUUCAUGAUCUUUUAAGAAACUGAUUAAUCUGCAACCCAUCCCAGAAAGGUCAGAUGAUCAUGAGGAGACUCCAAAAAACAAGAAACAUGACAUGCAUGUCUACUUCUUGGAGCCGAAAAUGAGACAGUGAGCUUUGUCUAAUUUACCUGACAAAGCGAGUCUAUGGAAGAGAGAAUGGCUUCACAAAAAGAUUCGCAUUGCCCCCCAUCAGAAACAGGACCGCAAGGUUCAAACUAUCCCAAAGAGGAAGCUGAGGACUUACACCCGCUGUUUCCACGCACCCCAUUAUUGAACUGCGUUCCCGCAUUAGUGCACACGUGAAAAAGCAUCCUCUAAGGCGCAUCUUGGAGGAGAUGAAUUCCUUGAUGUCGAACUGAAAAUUCCAUUACCAAGUGAAGAAAAGAACCUGCCUUUGAAUUGUGAAUCCGAAAAUGGUAAUAUUGGGCCCAAGUGCAAGUCCCGAACAUUGUCUCAUUCGGCCUCUGUUGGCUGAAGAGGGCCCAACUGAAUUUCACGGGAUUGCAUUUUCUUUCUUCUUUUUCUUUCCCCGGAAACGAAAGCAAAUUCUCUAACCCUAUCUAUUUUCUUCGACGCGGAACUUGAUGAUAUUAAACUGAAAACUCCACUGUAUCGUAAUUCGAAACUCUUGAUUUGGAGGGUGAGAAGAAGUUGAGUGAGAUGAGCAAGUGGACGCAUAGAGGGAGAGGCUCUCAUGGUGGUCGAAGUGAUAAAGGGGUGGGAAGUGAAGAAGUACAAAGGGUAAGCUAGCUGCUUUCAAAGGUGCUUGUUUUCCCGAUUUUCCUUAACAUUCAAUCAAAGAUGUAAAAAUUUCUAGUUUGAUUUAGGUGAGACUUUUAUUAUCAUACUACUAUCGAGUCAAUUUUCGGGACAUGACCAUUGGCAAGUGCAUAAAAUGUAUGUUUUGGAGUGACGUGAUUGUCCAAUAUGGACUCUUAGAUGAUCACAUAAAAAUUGUUAAGGUCCUAUUGUUUAUCGGAUUCCUAUGUAGUUUACAGGGUGCUUGAAUAACAUCACUUCUAGCUAGGUAACCAUGAUUUCCCAAUUCCCCCACACUAAAAUGGUUUUCCAUUGUGUCAACCAUGGCAAAUUGAUCAAAUUGGUAGUCGAGAAGGUCAUGGAAAGGUUGAAAUCAAAGGAUAGAUUAGUGACUAAACAUAUAGCUGGAAUUUGGGAGAAGUUGUCCAAAAAGUCUCUAAUCUAUUGUACUUUUGUCAAUUCAAUCUUCAAUAUUUUAAUCUUGCAAUUGAGUCACAAACAUUUUUCACUUCUUACUAAUUCAGUCCUAAACCUUCUCACUUUCUACUAAUUGAGUUUAUUCAAUUAAUUUUGGUUAGAAAUUAUUAAUGUGGACUAUUGGUGCUAAAGUGGCACUUUUUAAUAGAAUUUUGAUUUUUUUUAUUUUUUUCUUUGUUUUUUAAGGUUUGGAUCUAGGGCCAGCCAGGUUUGCCAGCCAACCCUCGCCAGCCACAAACGAGGGUCAGCAACCUACACCAGCCACAUGCGAGGGCCGGUUGACCCUCGCCGACUUUGAGUAAGGACCACCAAACCCUAACCAAAAAAAAAAAAAAAAAGAAGGGUGAAAGCGAAGGCGUGCGAGCCCUCACCUAGAAAAGAAGAGGGCCGCAACGCCCUCGCCAGAUAUGGCCAAGUGAGGACUUGGUGCCAACCCCACGAGAGGGCGGCAACCUCGCUUGGGGCCCUCGCCUAGCUAGAUCUAGUGAGGGUAUCAUGGCCCUCGACAUUUCUAGGCAAUGGUUCGCGUGCCCUCACUUUUGGCGAAAAGGGUCACUAGCCCUAGAUCCAAACCGCCCCCCCCCCCCCCAAAAAAAAGCAAAAUAAAGUAAAAAAUAAUAAAAUAUUCAAAAUAUCAUUAAAAAGGUGUUACAUUAGCACCAAUCAUCCACAUUAUCAAUUUUCUAGCUAAAAUUGGCCAAAUGGACUUAAUUGGCAAUCGGUAAAAAAGUUUAGAACUAAAUUGACAAAAUUAAUAUAUUUAGGACUGAUAGGUUUAUGAUUUUUUGGAUAAUUUCCCCUAAAAUUUGUAAUUAAGUUGUAGCAAUAAGCGAAUUGAUAGAUGUCAACUCUGGUGGCAUGCAACGUGUGGCUCAUUCAAAUUCAUGGCACGGGGUGUAUCAACAAGAUGACUUUUGCCAAGGUCGUCUUUAAUCAACUCUCCUCAUUAUGAAAAAGUGUUGUUGUUUCUUUGAACAUGUUCAAGCGAAAUUGUCAAGAGCUGAUGGCUUAGUUGAGAUGCAAAAAAAGUUAUUAUCCAAAAUCGGCGUUCAUGCAAGAACAAGGAGCAUUGAGAAAAUUGAUUAUUGAAUGAAGAGAAUUGGAGAAGCAUUUUGUAAUAAGACAGUCCUCAUUGUACUCGACGAUAUUGAUAACGGCGAGCAAGUAGAAAAAUUAAAUAGAAAGAGCACUUUGUAUUCAGGAUCUAGAAUAUUGAUUACAACUAAAAUAAAUAAAUGUUUUGCGCAUCAAUAGUAUAAAGUAUCAAAUUUUAAAUUAUGCAAUGGAGGUGAGGAGUACUUGUCAUGCACUUGAACUUUUCAAGAGGCACAUGUUUAACAUGGACUCUCCUACAAAUGAUUACAAUGAUCUUUCAGAAAAAUGGUACUUGCUAGUGGGAGACUUUUAUUGGCUCUUGAAAUAACUCGCUCAUUCCUCUACCACAAGACACAAACUAUGGAAAGAGACAUUGGCCAAGUUAAGAAAAGCACCAAACGAAAUGUUUUUCAAAAGUUGAAGAUUAGCUAUGGUUCCUUAACUUUCAGGCAACAACAAAUUUUGCUUGAUAUUGCUUGCUUUUCCGUUGGUGAGGAUAAGACGAAAGCAAUUUUUAUGUGGGAAGAAUGUAAGUUUUCCUCUAAUACUAGAAUUGAUGUCCUCAUUAGUAUGUCUUUGUGAAAUAUUGAGGAGAAUAAUUGAUUUUGGAUGCAUGAUAAAAUCAGAUAUCUUAAAAGGAAUAUUGCUGGGCAGGAAAAUUUAAUGAAUCUGGAAGAGCGAAGUAGGAUACGAUAAUACAACGGAGCAAGCACUUCUAUUUAUUGGCUGUUAUUAACCGACUUUCCCAUCUCUCCAGGCAAUUCCAAUACAAAUAUCUCUGACAUUAAUUAUUACACUAAAACUUGCUUUGAUGAAGAAAGGACUAAAUUAUUCCGGAAUUUUCUAGGCCAAGAGAGAAAGAUCUGGAGAAUGGAGAGAAAGCAGCGGUGCUCUCUUCAACAUUGAAUUCUACACAUUUCUUGCUCUCAUUUGCAGAUGAAGAGAAAUGUUCAAGAAUUAAAGUUUAAUUUACGCAAAAGUUAUCCAAAGGACGCUAUUGAAACUACAGAACAUAAUCAAGACGGAUUUGUUGGAGUCAUCCUCCUCCAACAUCUAAGCCAAUGGAUUUGUUGAAUUUAUAUACAAUGACUUCACGGAUGAUUUGAAACUACAUAACAUAAUCAAUUCCAGUUGCAUGAUGGCUAUAAUCAUGCUGUUCAGAUAGAUUUAAGAACUAAAAAUCAUCAAUGGACAAAACAUUUCAGUUGGCAAACUGCAAACUUUGUUACACACACCUUAAUAGCGAAUUCUUACACGUAAAAGUGAGGCUGCAACAAAUCAACGAUGAAAUUUAACAAUUUUGUGAAGUUGACAUUACAAACCAUCUAACUAAUAGUACUUCGCAAAUUAUAGCAUGACAAUCUAGCAUCUACUGCUAGAUGCAACUAUAAGAGUUUUCCUAAUGUAGAUUACAUUAAUUAAUAUUGUAAUUACCAUUUACGAGGUUGGUUUAAGGUGACAUAGAAUGUUUCUUAAUUUAGUUAAUAUAGGGCUAGCUAGUAUGAGUCGAGUUAAACCUGGCCCAUAAUAAAAGAGCUUGGUUGAAACUCUAUAAAUAAUGAUCAACUCUCUCAUCUAACUCUAAUUCUCACAAUUAUCCUCCUCACAAAAAGAGUGUUUACCUAAUGUUAAAUGAUGAGGGACUGUCUCAUUGAGCUAGUAAUAUAGAGAGCAAUAGAGGAUAAGUUCUUGAAUUUGGACCGUCAUUAUUCUGCAUCAAGAAUGGUGGUCCAAAUCUGAUGUGUAAAUCUAUUUACAUGAUUAUAUAUGUGUUAUUGUUUCUAGUUAUAGAGAUCUUGGGUUUCGCUUUCGCAUCUUACAGCAACAAUUCAGGCAUUGAUACAUGUGUUCCACAUUUUGGGGAGACAUUCACUAAUGGUUGAAGCCAACAUUAUCAGCAAGUAACGGCGGCGCAUAUGAGUAAUACAGGACUAAUGUAAGUAUAACCCUUCGAAACAAGCAGCAAAACCCCCCUAAUUUCCGGCCUGAACUAAAUCAGAUGCUGUCAAAGCUCCAGAGUGAUCGACAUCAAGAUUCCGGAACCUUUCCAAGAUAGCCGUAACAUCUUCCUGGCUGAUCUUUCCCAUUUCCUGUAUCUUGUAUACGACAAACUCUGCAGCGCUGCAAAAAGAAAGCACCAGCAAGAAACUCAGAUAUUUGCUCAAAUUAGUUUAUUUGCAUAAUUGAAUUUGCAGAUGAUUAAAAUUUGCCUGAUAACUUUGUAAUGAUCAAGAUCUGCUGCCUCUAAAUCCGACCUCGUAAUAUUUCGUGUCAGAACCCAUUUUAUGAAUGAUCGUUGCCUGCUUUCUGUGUACAGUUCAGCAAGGUAGAAAAAAAACCGAACCACACAAAUGGUACUAGCCAGUAUCCAAAACACGGCAAAGAUUCUGCCACCGGUGGUCAGGAAACUUUUAUCUCCAUAGCCGAGAGUACUAAUAGUCACGCAAACACAAUAGAAAGCAUCGACAAAUUUUAAUUUCUCGAUGACCGACAAAAACACGAUUCCAAGUAUAGUAAGGACCACGACAAGAACGAGGGAAGUGAGAAAAUUAUAUCUGAUUUUGUGGGAUUCGACCUCCUUCACGAUUUCGGCCUGACCAACCCUUUCAUUGAUGUGCAUAGCUCUUACUAAAAGAACUUGCUGCUUUUCAAGAAUGUAAUCGGCCGCUUUGCCUAGGAUCAGCCCAUUAAGAGCCAUUCCUGCGAAAACAUAUGUCGAGGCUAGAAGUUUUGCCAAUGUGCUACUUGGGACGAGAUCUCCAUAUCCCACAGUAGUCAUGGUAACAACACAAAAGUAAAGGGCAUCGAGUAGACUAUUCGUCUUCUUGCCCGAGAUUUGGUUCCCCAGGAGAAAGAAACAAAAGCUUCCCAAACCAAGGAUUGCAGCCAAAAUUAUGAAGAUUUUAAAAAAUGUGGGUCCUUUAGUAGCCUCGGGAAGAUGAGGUUCGGUGCCAUUCAGCUCAGGGAAACUAUCCACUGAAGGCAAAUUGCGGCGGUGUCUUCUUCUUUGAACUGCAUUGCUAUUGUCCUUGGGAUGAUUCGAAGCGUAAACUGAAUUCCCAAUCCAGGAUUCUCUGGUAUCAUCAUUGGCCAUAUCCAAUGGUGCAGAUUCGUCCUCUUUUAAGCAGCCUGCAUUUUUCGAGCAUUCAACAAUCAGUCAAGGACAUUCCAUGAAUUUUCUGUUGUCUUGUUUACCGUCCGGUUGUGUUCAAACUUUGCCAUGAGCUCAAGUUCCCAGUACCAUUCACUCCCAAAUAACCUUAAACUGGCGAUUCUCUUUGAUUAUGAAACAAAUCUCACGCUUGUACGUUGUGAUAAUAGAGAGACUUUGUUUCCCUCUAGACGUUGCUUUUCUUUUUUUUAUCAAGACCAAGGACAAUUUCAAUCAAUGUUGACCAAUACCUACUAGCGUAGCCAAUAUUGCAGAUGAAACACAGCCAAGCAUGUAAAUGCCUGGAUUAAACAAUGCCAAAAAAGCCUGGACUAAACGAAAAUUCAUCCACUCAUGAAUGGAUCUCUACUUUGAAGCGAGACACCAACCAGGCAGUUACACAAAAGAAGAGAUCGAUGAUCUUUUUAAACACUGAUUGAUCUUGCAACACAUCCCUGAAAGGUCAGAUGAUCACAAGGAAAACAAGAAAACACGACAUGCAUGUCUAAGUCUUGGAGCUGAAAAUGAAACAGUUGGCCUUGUCUAAUUUACCUGACAAAGCGAGCUCAUGGAAGAGAAAAUAGUUUCUCAAAAGAUUUGCAUUGCACCUAUCAGAGAAGGACCGCAAGCUCCAAACUUUCCCAAAGAAAAAAGCUGAGGAGCUACGCCCGUUGUCUCCACGCACCCCAUUAUUGAACUGUGUUCCCGCAUUAGUGCACCUGUGAAAAGCAUCCUCCUAGGAGCAUCUUGGAGGAGAAUGAAUUCCUUGAUGCGGGACUGAAAAUUCCAUUACCAAAUGAUGUAAAGAACCUGCCUUUGAACAGCGAAUCUGAAAAUGGCAAUUUGGGCCCAAGUGCGAGUCCCGAACAUUGUCUCAUUCGGCCUUUCUUGGCUGGAAAGGGCCCAACUGAAUUUUGCAGGUUUGCGUUUUCUUUCUUUUUUUCUUUCCCAAAAAACAAACUCCUCGUCCUAAGGUUUUUUUUGUCUAAUACUAAUGUGGAAAUGUUUAAUUGAUAAGGCUAUGAGGCCUAAAAAAAUUCGAACUCAAGAUUCCUAACUUUGAUAUCAUAUAAAAUUUUGUGAGAUCACUUUUAAUUGUGUUAAAAGUAUAAGUUGUUUAAUGAAUACGUGAUAUAUUAUUAAAAUAUUUUAACAUAAUUGAAUGAGUAUAAAGAACAAGCUAGCUACUUUCAAAGAUGCUUGUUUUUCCAAUAUUCCUUUAACACUUAAUCAUAGAUGUAAAAAUUUCAAGUCUGAUUGAGAUGGAACUUUUAUUAUAGUAAAGUAAAUGAUGAAUGGACGCUAUGUUUAUCAAAAACUGUAAGGAGGGAAUAAUGAUAUUGAUAGCUAUGGAGCUUCACUGAUAGUGAUUGUGGGCAGUGGGAGAAAAAGGAAUGAGUUAAUGAAGUGUGAUGCAAAUUCUCAUCUGAUCAUUUAAUCUUUCAAUACUCUAGACAUUUCUCCACUUGAAAACUCCAUGUUAACUUUAAUAGCCGUGACUCGAACAUAUGUACAUCUACGUUAUUCAUAUAAUCCCAAGAUCACUAAUCUCACAUUGGAAUCUAAGUAAAAUUCCGGGACAUGACCAUUGCUGAGCACAAAACUAAUGUUUUGUAGCGACGUGAUUGUCCAAUAUGGACUCUUAGACGAUCACAUGUAAAUUGUUAAGGUUCUAUUGUUUAUCCGAUUGCAAUGGAGUUCAUGUUAUGCUUGAAUAACAUCACUUCUAGCUAGGUAAUCAUGUCUAGCUAGGCAAUCAUGAUUUCCAUUCCCCCCCCCCCCCCCCCAAAAAAAAUUAAAAUGGUUUUUCAUUGUGUCAACCAUGGAGAACUAAUCAAAUUGGUAGUCGAAAAUGUCAUGGAAAGGUUGAAAUCAAAGAAUAGAUUGGUGGAUGAACAUAUAGUUGGAAUUUAUCAUCAAGCUAUAGCAAUAAACGAAUUAUUAGAUGUCGACUCUUGCGUGUUCGGCUCAUUCAAAUUCAUGACAUGAGGGUAUCGGUGAGACAACUCUUGCCAAGAUUGUCUUUAAUCAACUCUCUUCUCAUUGAAGCAUAAUUGUCAAGAACUGAUGACCUAGUUGAGUUGCAAAAAAAGUUAUUAUCUGAAAUUGGCAUUCAUGCAAGAACAAGAAGCAUUAGUGAAAUUGGUUAUGGAAUAAAAUGUAUUGGAGAAGUCCCGUGUAAUAAGAAAAUCCUCAUUGUAUUUGAUGACGUUGAUAACAACAAUCAAGAGAAAUUAGGCGGAAAGAGUACUUUGUAUUUAGGAUCUAGAAUAUUGAUUACAAUUAGAAAUAAAGAUGUUUUUUUUUUUUUUUGGUAAGGUUAGAAAUAAAGAUGUUUUGUGCAUCAAUAACCUAAAGUAUCAAAUUUUAAAUUAUGCAAUGGAGGUGAUAAGUACUAAUCAUGCGCUUGAGCUUUUCAAGAGGCGUGCAUUUAACAUAGACUCUUCUACAAAAGAUUAUAAAGAUCUUUCAAGAAAAGUCAUAUUUAAUACAGGAGAAUUCCAUUUGGCCAUGAAGUAACUAGUUUGUUCCUCUCCCACAAAACACGAACUUUGAAAAGAGAAAUUGGACAAGUUAAGAAAAGCACCACACGAAAUGUUUUUCAAAAGUUGAAGAUUAGCUAUGAUGUCUUAAUUUUCAGGUAACAACAAAUUUUGCUCAAUAUUGCAUACUUUUUCGUUGGUGAGGAUAAGAUAAAAGCAAUUUACAUGUGUGAAGAUUGUAACUGUGAAGAUUGUAACUUAUCCCCCAAUAUUGAAAUUGAUGUCCUCAUUAGCAUAUCUUUAAUAAAGAUUGGGGGAGAACAAUCGGUUUUGAUGUAUAAUCAAAUUAGAGAUCUUGCAAGGAAAUUGAUCAUCAGGAAAAUUCAAUGAAUCUCAAGGGAGGAGUAAGAUAUGGAAAUACAGGAGAGCAAGCACUCCCAUUUAUGGAGUGUAAUUGACCGACUUUCCCAUCUCCAAUACAAAUAUCUCUAACAGUAAUUAUUACGCUACAACUUGCUUGGAUGAAGAGAGGACUAAAUUAUUCCAGAAUUAUCUAGGCCAAAAGAGACAGAUCUGGAGAAUGGAGAGAGAGCGAGCAUCAACAUUACAUUCUACUCAUUUCUUGCUCUCAUUUGCAGAUGAAGAUAAAUGUUCAAGCAAUCUUAAGGACGCUAUUGAAACCGAAGAGAUUGGAAGGUUGGAAUAUCUUAGGCACCUCAAAUUAAAUGAAGGAACCUUCAUCAAUAACUUAGCGAAUCAUCUUACCGAAUUAAGAUGGAUUUUUGGAGUCAUCCUUCUCCAACAUCUAAGCCAACCGAUAUGCACUUAAAGAAUGUGGUCAUUCAUGAAUUUAUAUACAAUGACUUCAUAGAUGAUUCGAAACUACAGAACAUACUCAAGUCCGUUUGCAUGAUGGCUAUGAUUGUGCUGUUCAGAUAGAUUUAGGAACUUAAAAUCAUCGAUGGACAAAACAUGGACAAAACAUUUCAGUUGGCAAACUGCAAACUUAGUUACACGCACCUUGGUAGCGAAUGCUGUCAUAUAAAAGUGAGACUCCAACAGAUCCACGAUGAAAUUCAACAAUUUUGUGAAGCUGAUGUCGCAGACCAUCUGACUAAUGGUACUUGGCAAAUUGCAGCAUGACGAUCUAGCAUCUAGCAUCUGCUGCUAGAUGCAACGAUUCGGGCAGGGAUACAUGACUUCCACAUUUUGCACAUUUUGGAAUUACUUUUUGCAAGUUAUUUUAUAGAUAGGAGAGACAUUCACUCAUGGUUGAAGCCAACAGAAAGAACUUCAGCAAUAUCAGCAAGUAACAGCGGUGCGUAUGAGUAAUACCAGACUAAAGUAUGUAAGUAUAAUCCUCGGAAACAAGCAGCAAAACCUCCCCUAACUUCGGGCCUGAACUAAAUCAGACGUUGUCAAAGUUCCAGAAUGAUCGACGUCAAGAUUCCGGAACCUUUCCAAGAUAGCCGUAACAUCUUCCCGGCUGAUCUUUCCCAUUUCCUGUAUCUUGUAUACGACGAACUCCGCAGCACUGCAAAAAGAAAGCGCCAGCAAGGAACUCAGACAUUUGCUCAAAUUAGUUAUUUGCAUAAUUGAAUUUGUAGUAGAUGAUUAAAAUUUACCUGACAACACUGUCACGAUCAAGAUCUGCUGCCUCUAAAUCCGACCUCGUAAUAUUUCGUGUGAGAACCCAUUUUACGAAUGAUCUUUGCCUGCUUUCUGUGUACAUUUCAGCAAGGUAGAAAAAAAACUGAGCCACACAAAUGGUACUGGCCAGUAUCCAAAACACGGCGAAGAUUCUGCCACCGGUGGUCGAGAAACUUUCAUCUCCAUAGCCUAGAGUAGUAAUAGUGGCGCAAACACAAUAGAAAGCAUCAACAAAUUUAAAGUUCUCGACGACCGACAAAAACACGGUUCCAAGUACAGUAAGGACCACGAGAAGAACCAGGGAAGUGAGAAAUCUAUAUUUGAUUUUGUGGGCUUCCAUCUCCUUCAGGAUUUCGGCUGGACCAACCUUUUCAUUCAGGUGCAUAGCUCUUACUAAAAUAACUUCCUGCUUUUCAAGAAUGUAAUCAGCCGCUUUGCUUAGGAUCAGCCCGCCAAGAGCCAUUCCUGCGAAAACAUAUGUUGAGGCGAGAAGUUUUGCCAAUGUGCUACUUGGGACGAGAUCUCCAUAUCCCACAGUAGUCAUGGUGACGACGCAAAAGUAAAGGGCAUCAAGUAGACCAUUCGUCUUCUUGCCCGUGAUUUGGUUCCCCAGAAGAAAGAAGCAAAAGCUUCCCAGGCCGAGGUAUGCAGCCAAAACUAUUAGGAUUUUUCUAAAUGUGGGUUCUUUUGUAGACUCGUGAAGAUGAGGUUCCGUGCCAUUCUGCUCGGGGAAAUUAUCCGCUGAAGGAGAAUUUCGGUGGUGUCUUCUUCUCUGGACUGCAUUGCUCUUGUCCUUGGGAUGAUUCGAAGCAUCAACUGAAUUCCCAAUCAGGGAUUCUCUGGUAUCAUCAUAGGCCAUAUCAAAUGCUGUAGAUUCGUCCUCUUUAAGCAGCCUGCAUUCUUGGAGCAUUCAGCAAUCGGUCCGGUAUUGCGUGUGUUCAAACUUCACCCAUUCCAUGAUCUAAUGUCUGGACAUUCUCUGUGAUGCAGAGUGAAAGGCGAAUAUUUCCCAGCUUUCACUCCCAAAAAUCCUUAAACUGGUGAUCCUCUUUGACCUCAUGAAACAGAUCUCAGGCUUAUAAACUGUGAUAACAGAGAGACGUUGUUUCCCUUUAGACAUUGCCUUUUUUAUCAAGACCAAGGACAAUUUCAAUCAACGUGGACCAAUACGUACUAGCAUAGACAAUAUUGCAGAUGAAACACGGCUAAGCAUGUAAAUGAAUGGAUUUAAGUAAUGCCAAUAAGGCCUGACCUAAACACAAAUCAUCUAUUCAUAAAUGGAUCUCUACUUUGACAGGAGAAACCAAAUAUGCAAUCACAUAUAAGAAGAGAUUCGCGAUCUUUUUAAACACCAUUUAAUCUGCAACACAUCCAGAAAAGGUCAAUGAGGGAGGCUCAAAAAAGAUGCACAUAAAACAAGAAAACAUGGGAGAUUCAUGGCAAAGCCUUAUGUGCAUGCCCUCUUGGAGCUGACAAACGGUUUUAUCCAAUUCACCUGAGAGAAAGCGAGCUCAUAAAAGAGAGAAUGGCUUCCCAAAAGAUUGCAUGGCCCCCUUCAAGCAAUGCAAAAGGACCGCAAGAUCCAAACUUUCCGAGAGAGGAAGAUAAAGGGUUACGCCCGUUGUUGUGUCCACGCACCCAUUAUUGAACUGCGGUCCGGCAUUAAUGCACACGUGAAAUUCGGUGAAGGGAAGCGUCCUUUCAGGCACGUCUUGGGAGGAGACGAAGAAUCCCUUGAUGUGGAAUUGAAAAAUUCAACUACAGAAUGACGAAAAGAUCCUGCCUUUCGACCUGCGAAAUCUGAAAGAUGGCAAUUUGGGCCCAAGGGCUCCAUCGGCCUUUCUUGGCUGCAAAGGGCCCAACUGCAUUUCACGGGUUGGUCUUUCCUUUCUCCUUUUUUUCCCGGAAAACGAAAGAAAAUCCGCUGAUCAAGUUGGGAACCUUGGAGAGAGAAGAAGAGAGGAGAAAAUGAGGCUGGUGAAGAAGCAAGCAGCAGACAGAGCAGCUAAGUUUCACUUCUACAUCUAAUUCUCUAGUUUUAUUAUCUCUUAGCAUAUCCCGUUUGUGCAAAUAUCAAUUUCACUGCUCAAAAGAGAGCAGCCAUUUUCAGGUUAGCUUGAAGUCCUUUUUCCCUUACAGGUUGUGCUACAGCUUAGUUUGUUGUUCUAAGGAAAAGGAUUGAAAAAAAGAACUGAUCUUGACAACGUUAUACCAUCACACCGUUGCUUGUAGCUUUCGACAACUUCAACAUCUGCUUCUUGGAUCACUUGGGUAUUGAUAUUUCUGUAUUGAGAACUGGGUAGUGCUAGUAUUUGAUAGUUUUGUAUUGUGACAUCAUUGUCAUCGAAGAACAUAUGGAUACAGCGGCAGCAAUGCCCUUGUGGGGAUUGGAAAUGCUUCGUUGCGUAUGAAGGCGAUAAUGAAGAGGCCACGGUUGCUUCCCAGUUGGCGAAAGCAAAAGCAGGGUCGGCCGAGGCUAUAGUAGUCCCGUAUGUGGGGAUGGUGUUCAAGAGCGAUGACGAUGCGUUCAAGUACUACGGCAACUUUGCGAGGAAGAAUGGUUUCUCCGUUAGGAAAGAGCACUCGAGAUUGAACCCUCAGUUGUGUAUAUACAAGCACGACUUUGUUUGUUAUCGGUCCGGGUUCGCGCCUGUGAGGAAGAAGCCUAGUGGGGAGCACCAUAGGGAUCGGAAAUCUGUCCGGUACAGCUGUAAUGCGAAGAUGUACUUGUCGAAGGAGGUUGUGGAAGGUGUUUCCAAGUGGUGUGUUGUGCAAUUCAGUAAUGUUCACAAUCAUGAGCUGCUGGAAGACAACCAGGUCCGUCUCUUGCCUGCUUACAGAAAGAUUCAUGCAGCUGAUCAAGAGCGGAUUCUUUCGCUAUCUAAAGCUGGUUUUCCAAUUCAUCGCAUCGUGAAGGUCUUGGAAUUAUAAAAGGGGAUUCAAGGUGGACAAUUGCCAUUCUUGGAGAGGGAUGUUAGGAACUUUAUUCAGAACAAGAAGAAAGUUGUUCAAGAAAAUGAUGCUUUGCUCAAUGAGAAGAGAGAAAACGAUAUAAUGGAACUUCUUGAGGCCUGCAAGGCCUCGAAGCAGGCAGAUGAAGGCUUUAGCUAUGUUUAUAGCGUGGAUGACAAUGACAAACUUGAGCACAUCACUUGGUCAUACAGCAAUUCAGUUAAUGCAUAUACCACGUUCGGUGAUGUGGUGCAUUUUGACACGUCAUACCGAUCAAGCACUUAUGGUAUGUUGUUUGGGGCAUGGUUUGGCAUUGACAGCAAUGGCAGAAUGAUCAUUUUUGGAUGUGUUCUGUUGCAGGAUGAGGCGCCACAAUCAUUUGCUUGGGCUUUACAGGUUUAUCUCUCUGUCCCUCUAGAUAGAUCCAUAUCUUGUACUCUACAUUUCCUCAUGAUAAUGUUUCUCUCCCUGGAUACAGAUGUUUGUCUGGUUUAUGAGAGGAAGAAGUCCUCAAACAAUCUUAACUGAUCUAGACCCAGGCCUCAGAGAUGCAGUAAGGGGCAAACUAGCAAACACCAAACACAUCACUUGUACAUGGAAUAUUUCGCCCAAGUUAUCAAGUUGGUUCUCUGUUCCACUUGGAUCUCAAUAUGCAGAAUUCAGAUCUGAGUUUGAUGCGUUGCAUUAUGUAGAGAAUACAGAAGAUUUUGAAUUAAGAUGGAAUGAAAUGGUUUCUCUGUUUGGACUGGGUUCAGAUAAACGCAUUGCUUUACUUUAUUCAAUUCGGAAUUCUUGGGCAUUGUGCUAUACGAGGGGUCACUUUCUUGCUCGAAGGACAACUGUUGCAUUUUUUAGAUCUGUAGAUUCAUUCCUGAAAGGAAUCUUCAGCCCAAAUGCAUGCUUGCGUAGUUUUUUUGACCAGGUAUAGCAGUUGAAGGUUUUGUCCACUCUGUGACCUUAUAUUCCAUUUGAUUUCCUUUUCUUCCCCCAUCUUAACGUAGAGGUUUUUUUUUUUUUUUUUUUUUUUUUUUUUUUUUUUUUUUUUUUUUUUCAGGUAGGAAUAUCGGCUACUUUCAAAAACCAGUCACACCUUGAAAUGCAGUAUAUGCCUUCCAAAGCGUGCAUUCCAAUGGAAGAGCAUGCACGAAGCAUUCUAACACCUUUUGGAUUCAAUGCUUUGCAAAAUGAACUUGUGCUGGCCAUGCAAUAUGCCAUGUCUGAAUUGGCCGAUGGUUCCUACCUUUUACACCAUUAUAAGAAGAUGGAUGGCGACUGUCUUGUCAUGUGGAUACCAGAAGAAGAGCAAAUUCACUGCUCAUGUAAGGAAUUUGAAUCUUCAGGGAUUUUAUGCAGACAUGCCCUUUCUGUUUUUAUUAGAAAGAAUUACUUUCAACUUCCCAGUAAAUACUUCAUUACUAGAUGGCUCCGAGAAAGCUCUAGAACAUGUUAUGAUGAACCUGCUCCUCAAGAUAGCGACAAUGAGUGGUUUCGAGAAUAUCAGUCCCUCAGUGCGUCACUGUUCACAGAAUCAUCGCUUACAAGGGGGUGUACCAAUUAUGUCCGCAGGGAAUUAAUGAAAGAAGUCAAAAGGAUCCUUGAAGAAGUUAGGAGCAUGCCAGAGACCGAUGGUGUCGCAGUGGAUAUGACUCUUUCUCCAACUGGAUGAUAUCUCUGAUGGUGCUUGUGUCACUUGCAAGUGCCUGAGCUUCUUGCAUUUUUCACAUUAAGUAUUGAGCAGAUGAUUGAAAAUGGUCUGAAAUUUGGAGUGAAGUGAACAUAUAUUACUCUGUUCUGUGGUCAAGAGCAUCAGUGGGAGUGGACUGUGCAUGCAGGGACUUGAUAUAGAAUUCAUCAUUUUGCAGUCGCCCAUUGGUGGCUCCAAGUGAAUCACUCUUGAAGCUGAAGAUAAAGAACCGAGGAUGUGGACAUAGGCACAAGGUACUCUUUGUACAACUUGUAUGCAAAUUACUGAAAUAGAAUAGCUGCAUUUCACCAAUAUAGAUGAAUUUCUUAAUGAAAAAGCUUAAUUCUUCUUUGUCUUUCCAUUUUUAUGGCAGCAAAUUUUGAUUGCGUAUCUUUUGGCUUUGCAGUCAAUCUUAUGACAUGCAGGGAAGACAUGAAAUAUUUUCAUGACAUCUCUUGUAUAUGGAUUGUUUCAAAUGGAUGGUAUAAUAUCUUUCUCCUUUUUUCAGGUGAAUGGAAGUGUGAAUGUUUAACUUGCAUUAGCUUCUGUUCUUCAUUGUUAAGGCUGGGAGACUUCAAUCUUCUCCUGAUUCCAAACGCUGGACACAAGUAAAACUCGCAAAGGUACACCCAGAAGUACACACACGAAGCGCACCAGAAAUAAAAUCUCGAUAAUUUAUUAAUUCAAAGAUAUAAGCUGUUUACAAUAAAAGCAGGGACCAAUGUAAAUUGCUUAACAGUCAAACGUUGAGCACUUGUUUGAUAUAUAUUAUUGGUUGAUUUGACUGCAUGAUUUUAAUCAUGUUGUUCCUUUUCCGAGACUGACUUUAAGUUUUUUUUUCAGGAACCCGGUUUUCAUUGGCCUUAUAGGCCUAAAAACACACUUUCUGUUUCAACUCUCAACAUGCUUCAAUUUUAUUUAUUUUUGUUUCAAGCAGUCGAUGACAAUCAAGAUUCUUCUCAUAGUUUGUCCUUAUAAACCUCCAAAAACGACUCUGUUUCAACCGUUCCUCAUCGACCCAUUAACAUUUGAUUAAUUUUCCUGUCACUUGCUCCAUUAUUUCCUCAGGACGUGUUGACGUGGCCACCUUCUGCGACUUUCGACCCUUCAGAUUCACGUAUCAAAGGGAUGACCCAGUCAUUAUCUAUUAUGCAGGUGCAGGAAGAACACGUUUCGAGAGCUUUUAUAUCGUCUUGGACACUUCAACACGCUCGAACACACUUUGACACGUAUGUGACAUGCAGUCAAUUCUUCCUGACACGUGUGUCCGGAAUUUGUGAGAGGCAUGUUCUGGGGUAGGUCUGCAAAUGCGAAGUGAGAGAGAAUCGUUGAAGAACACAAUGGAGGGUGGAGGCGAGGGCAAGGCCGCGACGGCGAGAGAGGGCCAGAGGAAGAGUAGAGAAAGAGUAGAGACCGAGAAUGUCGCAAUGGAGGGCCAGAGGCGAGUCGGUGAGCGACUCCGAUGAGGCGAUUGAGAGGGAGCAGAGAUCAAGAGCAAGAGGAUCAUGCAAGGAAGAGGAGGAUCAUGCUAGGGUUUUUGGGUUUCCAUGCUACUUUAAUUUCCUCUUUUACUUUUAGGGAGGAGCAGAAAAAGAAAAUUGGAAUGCUAGGGAAGAAAUGAGAGGUGAAAUAAAUGGGUGAUUUUUUUCUUUAACUUUUCCUUCUGGGAGGAAGGGGAGGGCGGACGGUGAUUUCAUUCUGAAGAAAGGAAAUGACGGGGUGAGUGGGUGGGACGAGAGAAGAAACGAGAGGAUGAAAUAAAUGGGUGGGGCCCAUUUAUCCCAAAAAAACGCUGAAUGAUGAAUAGAAUCAUUAAUAAAUGGAUAGGGUUAAAAAAUAAAUAAAAUGAUGGGUUAAAAAGUGAUUUUGAAAAAUAAAAAAAAAAAACUGAAUGUUGAAUAAUGAUAAAUUUUAGUCAUUAUAGAAGAUUUUAGAUUUAUUAAAUAAGUUGACUAUAAUCUCUUGCUAGUUAUUAAUUUCAUUGAUAACUUUUGUUAAAGUCAAAAAAUAUAUUUCCAAUUUUUUAUGAAUAAAUUUAUUAAUGUUAUUAAUAUAGAUUCAUUCUAGGCUCUUUUUUUUAUAAUUUAUUUAUUUAUUUGCAAAUCUGAAUUAAAUUAAUUUAAUUGAAAUAAUCAUAAAAAUGAUAAUUUAUCAUGUAUAUAUAAAAAAAUAUAUGUAUUUAAUAUACAAUGUACCUUAACAUAUCGGAAUUUUUAAUGUUUUUUUUAUAAAUGACAUAUCGACGUGUCAUAUCAUGUUGCUUGUCGUAUGUCAAUGUUUAUCCUAUUGAGCUUGGAACUAUGAAUUUGAUCUCUGAAACUUAAUUUAAGCGUCAUCUUCACUCGGAAGUUGUCAAGAAAUUAAAGUCUCAUCACUUGGAAGUUGUAAAGAAAUAAAAGUCUUGACGCGGAACUUUGAAGGGCAAUUAUCAUUGCACGAAAGUGGCAAGAUUGACGUCUUUCAACUUUUGACUUUAUAGGCUGUAUCUUAUCAUAUUCAUGAAGUUGCAAAGACCUAUUUUGAGUUUGAUGCAACAAGACAAACAUAGGUUAGCCAUAUUUAUUGAAGUGCCUUGACAAGCCAAAAGUCCUAAUAACAAUUUGCGCAUGCCCUUUUGCAUACCUAUUAUCUCUAGAGCUGAAUCAUCUCUAAUCAGGGAAAACUUCAUUCAAAUAUCAUUCCGACCCAGUGGAUCGCAAAUACAAGGGCCGCCCGCAUUUGUGUUUAGUUUAGUUUGCAGGUGAAGGGCAUCGGCAUCUGUAAUUGAUAACUCGGCACGGAAAAUAGGACACUUACCUAUGGCAAGAUUCGUUUCCAUGUUCCUGUGAACCGAAGGUGACUGGGCAUGUGAAGCCGACGGGAAAGAGGACCCCCAGUGAAUCAUUGCAACUUAAACCAGACUACAUGCCACAUGCCGUAGAAACGACGUCACUAUUUUUUUUAUUUUUCAUAUUUUUUUUUUCUGUGUAUGUGAGAGAUCACCACGGGGAGAAUUCGAAGGUGGGAAGUUUGCAUGAAGGACCCGGCAACAUAAGGCCCCACACCCACCGGACAAAAGAUUUUCCAUGGCCUGAGUUAGUGCAUUCGGGGAAGGUGCUGAUGAAGACCGGCAACAGUGUCUUCAAAGUCAUCAAACGACGACACGCAAUUUCCCACCCCGAACGGGCACGUGCCAUCCUCCCAUUUGAAGCUGCUCGGAGGCUCACAUGUUCAUAUGAUGCAAGAACCUCUUUGUCCUAGGGUGAGUAUCAGUCCGAGGUCAACCCUGGACCGAUCUUAAAUCAGCCCAAUCAUGCUCGUCCUGGUCUAGUUCCUAAGGAGACUGGGUCAAUCAUUAAUCCUAGAAUUCCUGAACCAGUACCAUGCUAGUUGGUUCUCGAUCCUAAGAAUUCAGGAUCGGUCCAUAUAUUAUAUAUAUAAUAUAUUAUUUGUAAUUUUUUUUAUAUAAAGAAAACCUUAAAAUAAAGGACGUCAACAACAUUAAACGGUUAUUUAGUGAGGAGUUCAAAUAAUUUUACAUUAUUUUUUAAUAAGUUAGAUUUUUAAUAUUUUUUACGGCAUUAAUAGUCAUAAUUUUACGAAGGAAUAAAAUAUUUUUGUGAGGAGUUCUUACGGCAUUCAAAAUGGCAUAAAUAGCUUCUUAUGACGUCCUCCUCUAUUUUUCAUUCUCUUCUAUCUUAUUUUUCUUAUUAGUCUUCAAUUUACCAAAAUCAAAGGAAACAAAUUCUCCACUCAUCACUCAACACUCGCAUUGCUCGUUUUAGGUCACUUGUACCCCUCGCCACUCGAUGCUCACUUGGCUUGUUGCUCCUUGCUCAACACUCGAUGUUCAUUAUGUUCGACGCUCACUCCACUCAACCCUCACCGCUUACUUUUCUUAGCUGACCUUGCUCGUCAUUAAAUCCAUUGGGUCGUCCGAUCCUCGGCUACCCUUUCAAGGAGUACAAAAAAAUAAAAUAAAAAAUUAUUAAUUAGUUCCGGGUUGACCUGAGAACCAGACUAAAUCUAUUGGUCAAUCCGGUCCUCAAUCAUUUUUUUUAAGAAGUACAAAAAAUGAAAUAAAAAAUCAUCGAUUGGUCCCAAAUUGACCUUAGUACUGAACCGAACCCAUUAAGUCGGUCCGAUCAUCGGUCUUAAGCUCAAUAGAGUUAGUCCUCAGUCCCAAAAAUUAAAGACCAGUACUAUGCGGGUUAGUCCUAAGAUUAAGGGUGGACCGACUCAACUUGGACCAUAUUCACCCCUACUUUGUCCUCAUUUAUACCUCUUGGAUCUUGCUACUUCACUUUAUUAUCAUUUCUCUCUCCAUCUCCCUUGAGCCUUUCAUUCCUGAGAGAGAGAGAUCCAUCUCCCUUGAGCCUUUCAUUCCUGAGAGAGAGAGAGAGAGAGAGAGAGAGAGAGAGAGAGUCAUUCCAGAAUCAGUCAUAUUCCUCCUAAAGCUCGAGAGAUUAGAUUUCGCAAAGCCCACGGGAGCCGAGAGCAAUGGCUGAAGAGGUGCAUAUUAAGUUCCUCAUCCUUUCAAUUUAUCAAGACUCUUCUCUUGCUAACUGAUAGAAAGAUUACUGUAACCCAUGUAUGAUCAGCUCUUUUACAUUCUUGCAUAAAAAGAUAGAUUUUUCUCAUUCUUCUGGUGGCAGAAAGAGCCAUGCUUUCUCUUCUUGUGGCUUCGUUUUGUUUGCAGAGUUCAAAAGAUCUUUGCUUGUGUUGUUCACUCGCUUUCUCUGUGUUUGUGCGUAUGUGUGUGUGACUCCGGACCGUAGAAGGUGAUCGAGGAAGUUGUGCGCUAUCGAUGUUCCAAGGAGAAGGUGAUCAAGAAAGUGAACCGCAAAUCCCCUGGUGAGUCUCACUCUGCCUGUGUUAAUGGUUUUGCUUUCUUUUUUUUUUCUUUUUCUUUUUUUUUCCUUUUUUUAUUGCCACCGUAGACUUCAUAUGAGUCGUGAAUUCGGUGAGGCAAUCACAAUCGGCUAUAGAUAGAGCUUUCAUGCUAAAUGUUUUGUGAAGUCAUAGUGAACUAACGACAGUAUGUCUGGAUUUCUAAUCCCCGGCUGUCGUAUUUCAUAAACAGUGGAGAGGAUCAAGAAAGUCCCCGAGAAGAAAGACGGAGGAAGAGACAAGCGUAAAGGAGACGGCGAGAAGAGAGAAGGCAAGAAGCCGGAGGCAGAGAAGAAGAAGAAGAAGGAUGAGGAUAAACGAAAAAAGAGAGACGGAGGAAGAGACAAGCGUAAAGGAGACGGCGAGAAGAAGAAGGAUAGGGAUAAACAAAAAAGGAAAAACGGCGGGAGGACAUGGCUUAGCGUUGCAUGUACGUGUUUUACUUGCUAAAGGUUUUAUAUUUUAUCAGUUGUGCUUAGUUGGAGGAUCUGUCAAAUUUGGUGGAUAUUUGUAUUUGAUCAUAUGAGACAGUAAAGGAACAGUAAGGUUUGGUUUGGUAUUUUAAACAGAUUAAAUUACCAGUUACCAGUUGUUGAAGUUUUAAUCAAUGAGGACAGCUGAUUCAAAUCAAGUCCGUUUGCGUAAUGACUAUGAUAGUGCUGUUCAGAUAGAUCUAGGAACUUCAAAAAAAAGAAAAAAACAAUGGACAAAUCAGUUGGCAAACUGUUGAAUUAGUGACUUCUGUCAUGUAAAAGUGAGGCUGCAACAGAUCGACGAUGAAACUCAACAACUUUGUGAAGCUGAUGUCGCAGACCAUCCGACUCCUUGUUUCUAUAAUUUGCUGCUAGAUGCAGUGAUUCAGGCAGGGAGACGUGAGUUCCACAUUUUGGAUUUAGUUUUUGCCAAUGAUUUUCUAGAUAGGGGUGAAUGUCUCCUCAUGGUUGAAGCUAACGGAAAAAACUUCAGCAUUAUUAGUAAGUAAUGGCAGGGCGUAUUAGUGAUGCAAGACAAAGUAUGUAGGUACAAUCCUCCAAGCAGCCAAGCCCCCUAUAAUUUCGAGACAGAAUUAAAUCAGAUGUUGUCAAAGUUCCAGAGUGAUCGACGCCAAGAUUCUGGAACCUUUCUAAGAUUGUGGUAACAUCUUCCCAGCUGAUCUUUCCCAUUUCCUGUAGCUUGUACACAACAAACUCCACAACACUGCAAAAAGAAAAGCGCCAGCAAGAAACUCAGACCCUGAAAUUAGUUUAUUUGCAUAAUUGAAUUUGUAGUAGAUGAUGAAAAUUCACGUAAACAACUUUGUCAUCAUCAAGAUUAGCAGCCUCUAAAACUUAUCACGAAAUACAAUUGAGUCUUACAACUUGCAAAAAGUACAAUCGAGUCUUAAAACUUAUCAAAUUAUUUCAAUCGAGUCCUANNNNNNNNNNNNNNNNNNNNNNNNNNNNNNNNNNNNNNNNNNNNNNNNNNNNNNNNNNNNNNNNNNNNNNNNNNNNNNNNNNNNNNNNNNNNNNNNNNNNUAGCAUUUUUAAUGGAAAAUACUAACGUGGCACGAACGUAACAUUUAAAUAAUUUUCAUUUCCACAUAGCUUUUUUUUUAAUUAUUUUUUAUUCAAUUUUUUUUUAAAUAGAUUUAAAAACUAAAAAGAAAAGUUAAAAUUUAUUUUAAAAAUUGUUAUUAAAUAAAAUAAAAUAAAAUAAGCAGCUCCGCCCCCGCCAACGAAGGAAGUCGGCCCCUCCAGCGAUGGCAGCAGUGAAGGAAGUCGGCCAUUUCUUUUUUUUUUCUUUUUUUAAAUAUAUUUUAGCUUUUCUUUUUUAAUUUUAAAUCUAAUUUAAAUAAAAAAAUUAAUUUGAAAAAAAGCCACAUGAAAGUAAAAAAUUAUUUUAAACGUCACGUUCGCGCCACGUUAGCAUUUUCCAUUAAAAAUGCUGAAGAUGUUAAUUUUAGAACUCGAUUGAAAUAAUUUGAUAAGUUUUAGAACUUGUUUGCAUUUUUUACAAGUUUUAAAACUCAUUUUCGUAAGAAGUUUUAGGAUUUCUAUUGCACUUAUCCCUUUAUUUUGAGGGAAGAGAAGAAAAAGGAAAUGGGAAUGCUAGGGAAGAAAUAUGAGAGGUGAAAUAAAUGGGUGACUUUUUUCUUUUAUUUUUCCUUUUGGGAGGAAGGGGAGGGUGGAGGGUGAUUUCAAUUUCUAAGAAAGAAAAUGACAGGCGGUGGGUGGGGGCGGGGGAAGAAAUGAGUGGUGAAAUAAAUAGGUGAUUUUCUUUUUCUUUUUCUUUUCCUUUUGGGAGAGAGGAGAGGGUGGACAGGGAUUUCAAUUUUGACGAAAGGAAAUGACGGGGUGAGUGCGUGGGACGGGAGAAGAAACGAGAGGACGAAAUAAAUGGGUGGGGCCCAUUUAUCCCCCAAAAAACGCUGAAUGUUGAAUAGACUUAUUAAUAAAUGGAUAGGGCUAAAAAAUAAAUAAAUGGUGGGUUAAAAAGUGAUUUCAAAAAUAAAAAUAUUGAAUGUUAAAUAAUGAUAAAUUUGGAUCACUAUAGAAGAUUAUAGAUUUAUUUAAAUAAGGUGACUCUAAUCUUUGUUAGUCAUUAACUUCAUCGAUAACUUUUUUUUACNNNNNNNNNNNNNNNNNNNNNNNNNNNNNNNNNNNNNNNNNNNNNNNNNNNNNNNNNNNNNNNNNNNNNNNNNNNNNNNNNNNNNNNNNNNNNNNNNNNNNNNNNNNNNNNNNNNNNNNNNNNNNNNNNNNNNNNNNNACAAUUUAUUAUGUAUAUAUAAAAAAUAUAUUUAUUCAAUAUAUAACAUAUCUUAAUGUGCUUAAUGUGUUGGAAUUUUUUUUAUCAUUUAUAAAUAACAUGUCGGCGUGUUGUAUCAUGUUACAUAUCAUGUGUCAGUGUCUAUCCUAUUGAGCUCAUGACUAUGAAUCUGAUCUCUGAAACCUAAUUUAAGUGUCCUCAUCACUCGGAAGUUGUCAAGAAAUAAAAAUCUCGCCACUCAGAAGUUAUCAAGAAAUAAAAGUCUCAUCACUCGGAAGUUGUCAAGAAAUAAAAGUCUUGACGAGGAACUUUGAAGGGGAAUUAGCAUUGCAUGAAAGUGGCGAGAUAUCUUUAACUUUUGACUCAGGCUGUAUCAUAUUCAUGAAGCUACAAAGACCAAUUUUGAGUUCAAUGCAACAAGACAAACCUAAGUUAGUUGUACAUAUUGAAACACCUAACAAGCCGAAAGUCCUAAUAACAAUUUGCGCAUGCCCUUUUGCAUACCUAUCAUCUCUAGAGCUGUAUCAUCUCUAAUCGGAGAAAAAUCCAUUCAACUAUCGUUCCGACCCAGUGGAUCGCAAAUACAAGGGCUGCCCGCAUGUGUGUUUAGUUUAGUUUGCCGGACAUCUGUAGUUGAUAAUUCGGCACGGAAAAUAGGACAGUUACCUAUGGCACGAUUCGUCUCCAUGUUCCUGUGAAGCCGAAGGGAAUUUUCCAUGACCUGAAUUAGUGCAUUCGGGGAAGGUGCUGAUGAAGACCGGCAACGGUGUCUUCACAGUCAUCAAACGACAUUGCGAAAUUUCCCACCCCGAACCGGCACGCGGCGUCCUCCCAUUCGAAGCUGCCCGGAGUCUUACAUGUUCACAUGAACUUCUUUGUCCUCGUCUAUAUAAAACGUAACCCUCUUGGACGUUGCUACUUCACUUCACCAUCAUCUCUCUCUCCAUCUCCCUUGAGCUUUCAUUCCUUUCAGAGAGAGAGAGAGAGAGUCAGAGAGAGGGAAUCAUUCCACAAUCAGUCAUAUUCCUCCUAAAUCUUGAGAGGUCAGUUCUCGCAAAGCCCACCGGAGACGACAGCAAUGGCUGAAAAGGUGCAUGUUACAUUCCUCAUCCUUCCAAUUUAUCAAGACUCUUUCCUUCAAACUGAUAGAAUGAUUAUUGUAACCCACACGUGAUCAGCUCUUUUACAUUCUUGCAUAAAAGGAUAAAUUUUUCUCAUUCUUCUGGUGGCAGAAAGAGCCAUGCUUUCCUCGUCUUUUAGCUUCGUUUUGUUUGCAGAGUACGAAAGAUCUUUGCUAGUGCUGUUCACUCACUUUCUCUGUGUUUGUGCGUUUGCGCGUGUGACUCUGGAAUGUAGAAGGUAAAAAUGGAAAUCAAGGUUGACCUGGGGUGCUCUCGCUGCUACAAGAAGAUCAGGGAAGUGAUCGGCAAAUUGCCUG
rnacentral:lncRNA from 1 species